rnacentral:lncRNA from 1 species
UUGGUGAUGGUGAUGUGUUUGUAGAUCUUACUUUACUUAACAUUCUUGCUGCUUACAAUUAUCUCUAUCUAUAACAGUACUUUCUGUGGAAAAUUUUAUUGAAAAUCUUCAAAUUUUAAGAAAAUUGUUAAAAAUGGACUAUGAAGGGCAAUAACUCCUUAGGGGGUCAAUUGACUAUUUUGGUCAUAGUGACUUAUUUUUAGUUCUUACUUUGCUGUACAUUAUUGCUGUUUACAGUUUAUCUCUAUCUAUAAUAAUA